rnacentral:lncRNA from 1 species
UCAAUUAUUCCCAUUUAUGACGAUUUAUUGCAAAAUUCAUGUCGUAAAGACCGAUUCUCUCAUAUUUCGUAAAUUAUGACUAUAAAUUCAUGAUCUUUAAUAGUCUACGACUAGCGUUCUUUCCCUAAUAAUAAUAAUAAUAAUAAUAAACACCCAGGAAAAAAUUAAGAUCAAUGGGGAACUCAAUAACGAAACUCAAAAUGCAGAGUCUCGAGGAAAAUACAUCUGAUCAUCAGUAUAAAGAAACGAUUUGCAGAAGAAGGAAAAAUUUAUUUGCCCAGCAAAAAAAUUAGCCACAAAACAAGUUAAUAGACGACAAGAAGUAAUUAAUUAUAUUUAUAAACAAAUCUUCAAUUUUAAAGUAAGAUUCACAACUGAAAAUUUGAAUGAACAGAUGAGUACUUACCUUCUUUAAAGAAGCCUUUUCAACAAGUUUCUUCACAAACGCAGACAUAUAUACAAAUCUUGAAGAUGAAAGAAAGAGUGUUUCAAUCUCACUACUCACUGAAAUAUCUAGUGUUUCAAUCUCACUACUCACUGAUAAAUAGAUAUUUCAGUGAAGAAUCUGAAGGGUCAUACCUGGAGAGAAUCGCUCGCUAAGGAAAAUCAGAAAGAAAAUGGAUAUGAAAACAAGAGUACAAUGCUACUAUUAUAUUACAACGGUUAAUAAUAUAGUUUUGUUUUAUCUAUAAAAUUUGAAUCGGACAAGGAAGGCCGGUUUCGUUAUGAGUGAGACACGUGGAAACUGACAACCUUGGAUCCGAAGAUUGCGAGAGAGAAAAAGUUUUGACGGUCGGUGGGAUUUGGUAAGAAAGGAAGCAGAAAAACUGUACUAAAAAGGCAAUAUACAAACCCAAACGCA